GAUGAACGCUGGCGGCGUGCUUAACACAUGCAAGUCGAACGGAAAGGCCCAAGCUUGCUUGGGUACUCGAGUGGCGAACGGGUGAGUAACACGUGGGUGAUCUGCCCUGCACUUCGGGAUAAGCCUGGGAAACUGGGUCUAAUACCGGAUAGGACGAUGGUUUGGAUGCCAUUGUGGAAAGUUUUUUCGGUGUGGGAUGAGCUCGCGGCCUAUCAGCUUGUUGGUGGGGUAAUGGCCUACCAAGGCGUCGACGGGUAGCCGGCCUGAGAGGGUGUACGGCGACAUUGGGACUGAGAUACGGCCCAGACUCCUACGGGAGGCAGCAGUGGGGAAUAUUGCACAAUGGGCGCAAGCCUGAUGCAGCGACGCCGCGUGGGGGAUGACGGCCUUCGGGUUGUAAACUCCUUUCGCUAGGGACGAAGCGUUUUGUGACGGUACCUGGAGAAGAAGCACCGGCUAACUACGUG
rnacentral:rRNA from 1 species